UAGGGGAAACACCCGUUCCCAUCCCGAACACGACGGUUAAGACCUAAGCGGCCGAUGGUACUGCAUUGGAGACGAUGUGGGAGAGCAGGUGGUCGCCA
rnacentral:rRNA from 1 species